rnacentral:lncRNA from 1 species
UGUAAAGUGAAGGCAUACACGCAGUGUUCAGGUGGCAAGGCUCGCAGCAGGGGACGGUGGUUGUGCGAUUGCCCCGAGGGAUAUAGUUGUGACUAUUCACCAGAGACUCGAGCGUUCCUCUGCAUGCCUGACGACCCAACCAGCGAUUACGAUUCGGUUAUUAACCGGAUUGCCUGAACCCACCAAUCUAAGAUGACGGGUAACCGUACUUUCAACAUUCGAUGGAUCCGUUAGGUCAUUUAUUCAUCAUAUCUUCAUUAUUAUUCCACUUGGUAUACCUUCGCCUGAACUGUCGACCUUUGACCUUUGACAUCUGUAUGUGUUACAUUAAAAAUAUACUAAUAUUUGUGUUCAAACACGGUUGUUCAAUUAAUGGACUCAUGGCAUAGUAUAAAUUCAGUUGAUUCUUUUUACGGAAUGUGGUCAUCUCCCAAAGUCCCCAAAAUAAAAUUGUAUUAACAAACUUGUUGUAUUUGCACGUAUAUGAAAUUAUAUUGCCUCUACAUUAGAAGCAGAGGAAGGGGGAGGGGGGGGGGGGCAACAGUCAGUUUUUUGGAAAACUCCUUAAUCCCAUAUGUUCUGUUUAUUUUCCUAUUUUGUAACUAUUAAAAACAAAUUUCCUUUUGAUUUUGACCAAAAUAUGAUGCCCAGAAAUCCUUAUUCAUUUCAAAUGUAUGAUUUUCUUGUAUAUAAUUCCAUGAUAUUUCUUGGCACUUUGCCAAUUAUUGCAAAUUAUGUAAAUAAUCAAGAUGUUUACGUUUUGUCAAGCACGCAUUUAGUUGAGCUAUUAAUCAAAUUCAUGGUUAGGAGAGUAGGCUAACAACGCACCUAUUUAAUUUACUAAAAAUAUAUUUGUUCUUCAGUACUAAAAUGGCAUUGGAUAUGAAGUAGAGUGUUAUAGUAUAGUCAAUGGCAAAUAACACUUUUAGUUAUUAAAGCGUCUAUUAAAGUUGUUGUGUUUUUGUUCUUUGUUUUUAUUUUAACUGUUUAAUAUGUUGUUGCAAUCUAUUUAAUCGAAAGCUAAUAUUGUAUAUCAUUCAUUAUGUCUGUUACUAUUUAAUAGCUCGGCCAUAUUUGUGUUAAGCAAGCCAUUUUGUGAAGAAUCUAAACUACUAAACCUAUGGAAGUUAAACGUCAUUGAUAUGUUUCCAAACGUGCAGUAUGCAUAAGAUCUUAUAACCCGCUACAUGGCGUGACGUCAUUUCGAAGGCAUUGUUGCUUAUCAAGUCACUAACGCAUUCUUACUAGCGCGUAAAUAACAGCGCAAGUCACUGACGCAGUCUUGCUAGCGCGUAAAUAACAGCGCAAGUCACUAACGCAGUCUUGCUAGCGCGUAAAUAACAGCGCAAGUCAUUGACGCAGUCUCUUUUGUAGCGCCUAAAUAACAGCGCAAGUCACGGACGCAGUCUCUUUUGUAGUGCGUAAAUAACAGCGCACGUCACUGACGUAGUCUCUUUUGCAGCGAGUAAAUAACAGCGCAAGUCACUGACGCAGUCUCUAUUGUAGCGCGUAAAUAAUAGCACAAGUCACUGACGCAGUCUUGAGUUAGGUACAUGACGCCUCGUGUGCAGUGGAUGCAUUACGCAAUAGUUAGAAAUGGCUCGAUGGCUUGUUUAUAAUAUCAUAUUCCAAGCAACGUCGAUGAACAAGAUAUGAAAGGAUGAUUGUGUAAAAUGAAAAAGUCAAAUGGUUUUAAUCAUUUUAGCGAAGAUACAAGGGAUCUCAUUGGUUCGAGCCCCGGCAUGACAUACAUGUACUGAACGUGCAUGUCAUUUAUACUCACAACCAAGAAGAUUGGAAAUGUGGGAUUGACAAGAUUCCAAAAGCGAUCCUAAACAUGCUAAAUGAAUAACUUACACCAUCAUGGGUAUGGUGUGUACAAUGUGUAUUGUAUUUAAAGCGCUUUGGAGACAUUAGUAUCAAGCGUAAUAUCAUAUACCCUCCAAGGCGUUAAUUCUACGAUCUUAUCGCGGUUAACUAUUAAACAAGGCAAUAACAUUACUAGUUCUGACCGUUCAAUUCAAUUAAUGUCUGGUAUCUUUUUCGAGAAAUUUAUCCUAAAGAUUAGAGAAGGCCUUCUAUUAUUUAUUAAAUAUCGAUGAUUUAAACUUCCAAAGCACAAAUAAAAAAAUAGCCCACUCAACAUGGUCAGUCGAGCUUUAGUCCAUACGUUGAUUUAGAUUUUCUAAUAAAAAUGCAUUUUAAUGUUGUGUAUUAUCAUACAUGGUGUAUCUUAGGUUUGACAUUGUUUGUGACGUAAGCAUUCUUCAUUUGUUUGCUCUUUGUUCAUGGUGGUUCAUUAUAUUUCAAAGAAAUAAAUGUUAUUUGAAAAUAAACAA